CAGCAGUUAGGUGCUUUAUUAAUUUACACAUUGCUAUAAGGUAUUAAGGCAGUUUGAAGUUAUUCUUAUAUAUAUUUGUUUAAUGAUUAAAUAUUUACAAUAGUUAUUCACAUAAGAAUACAUAAAUUGAUACCAUGACAAUAGUUUUGCUAAAGAGAGACAGGACAACUGACAGUGUCCGUGGUAGCAUAACCGAAGUAUUAAUGAACAAGUAAGUCUGCAUAGUCUCGAACAAGUACAAAGCUUGGUGAUAUAUAUGUGGUGCCAUCCAGUGUAUUGAGUUCAGUUGGUUAAUUCAUCCGCCAAAAAUUAGUUAAUUAAAAAAUUAGUUUUUAAGACAGUAGAAUGGAAUAAAAUCCUAUUUUCUUACAUUUUCUACAUAAGAGACAGAAAACGUAUUGGAAAUUUAUAGUGUAGUUAUAAAAAACCAGACAGUCACAUUUUUAUACAAGUGCUAAUUUAAGUACAAUUUUGUACUUAAAUUUAUUGAGUUGGACAAGGCAGUUUGUCUAACCCAGUUCAUAGAUUCAAUUAUUGAAAAUAUGACUACCAGAAAAGAAAACCAAUUAGAAAUACAUUCAUGUUUAACUUCUUGCUUGCCAUUGAUGGCAUUUGCCACCUGUGGCAGGGACAAACAAUAGAAAUUCAUAACUGCAAUUUUAUGAAUUGUAAUCAGUUUAUUUCAGUUGUGUUUAAGGUUUUCAAAAGGGACCAUAAUGAAUUUUUGAUGGUGGUUCCUAAAUGUUUUCUGAACAAAAUUUCUUAUUUUAAAUGGUUUUUACAAAAAUUUAUUUAAUUGAAUGUUUUUUGGAAAUUUACUUUUUUCUUUCUUUU
rnacentral:lncRNA from 1 species